rnacentral:rRNA from 1 species
UACUUGGUAUAGUCCGGGAUUUAACCCCCUCUAGAUAACCCCAUCGCACCGUGGCGGAGACCAUUCGAGCUGCCUAUCAACUUUGUGGUAGUCGCGUGCCUAUGGCCGGGACGGGGAAUCAGGGUUCGACGGAGAGGGAGCCUACGGCUACC